rnacentral:tRNA from 1 species
GCUCCCAUGGCGUAGUGGUCACUGCACUUGCCUUGCACGCGGGAGGCCAGGGUUCGAUUCCCGGCGGGGUCA